UACAGAGGUCUCAAGCGUUGUUCGGAAUCACUGGGCGUAAAGGGUGCGUAGGCUGCGCCGUAAGUCAGAUGUGAAAGCCCCGGGCUCAACCCGGGAAUUGCAUCCGAUACUGCGGUGCUAGAGAACUGAAGAGGUGACUAGAAUUCUCAGUGUAGCAGUGAAAUGCGUAGAUAUUGAGAGGAAUACCAAAGGCGUAGGCAGGUCACUGGGCAGCUUCUGACGCUGAGGCACGAAGGCCAGGGGAGCGAACGGG
rnacentral:rRNA from 1 species